rnacentral:rRNA from 1 species
CUCGUAGGCGGCCUGCUCAGUCGGUUGUGAAAGCCCACGGCUUAACCGUGGAAUUGCGAUCGAUACUGGCGGGCUUGAGUGCGGGAGAGGAGAGCGGAAUUCCCAGUGUAGCGGUGAAAUGCGUAGAUAUUGGGAGGAACACCGGUGGCGAAGGCGGCUCUCUGGACCGCAACUGACGCUGAGGAGCGAAAGCGUGGGGAGCAAACA